rnacentral:rRNA from 1 species
GAUGAACGCUGGCGGCGUGCCUAAUACAUGCAAGUCGAGCGAACAGACGAGGAGCUUGCUCCUCUGACGUUAGCGGCGGACGGGUGAGUAACACGUGGAUAACCUACCUAUAAGACUGGGAUAACUUCGGGAAACCGGAGCUAAUACCGGAUAAUAUAUUGAACCGCAUGGUUCAAUAGUGAAAGACGGUUUUGCUGUCACUUAUAGAUGGAUCCGCGCCGCAUUAGCUAGUUGGUAAGGUAACGGCUUACCAAGGCCACGAUGCGUAGCCGACCUGAGAGGGGGAAUGGCCAAACCUGAACCGAGGCACGGGCCAGAACCCCUAGGGAGGGCAGCGGUGGGAAACCUCCGGAAUUGGGGGAAGGCUUACGGAGGAACGGCGCGGUAGGUAAGGAAGGCCUUCGAACGGUAAACCUUUGUUAUUGGGAAAAACAAAAUGUGAAGGUACCUAUGACGGCUUGACGGGUCCUAAACAAGAAGGCACCGCUUACCUAGGU